AUCCUUUUGUGGUUUAUAAGCAGGAUGACUGGUUUUCAAGACAAUGUGCCAGAUGUGUCUCCUUCAAAUCUUGUUAUGAUUUUGGCACAUUUCCUAUCUCACA